UAAUAAAGCUUUAUACUUAGGACUAUCAACAUCAUAUAAUGAUUAGUAAAGAAGGCGAGACAUUUCAGCGUGUGCACUCUUGUUUUAUCAAGUUGCAUGGAUGGAAAACAUAUGUUAGAAACCUACCCCUUUUAAUCGGAUACUUAAAGGGCAGAUAAUAAUCAUGCCUUCUUUACCAUCAGUACCCAAGUGGUUUUACUGUGAAAACACCAGUGAUAUGUUGUGUAAAUACAUUUGGUGGAAAUAAAAUCUCACAUUACUUUAUUUUCUCAGGUAGAUAUAACAACCACGACUUUAUUUGCUCACUGUAUAUAUUAUAUAUGAGGUGCAUAUUAUUGUUAAUUACGAGUUGGAUCUUCAAUAAUUAAUAUGUAAAGUGUUGUCUCUCAACAGUGUACAAGACUGGAAAGUUAUGUUUAUGGAACAAAUCAAUUUUAUCAGUAAAUUUGAAGAGAAACAUCAUAUUCAUAUUUCUGUCCUACAAUUCUUGUUCUUAAAUUGAGAUUUUGAAGGUUUUUUUAGUUGAGAGAAAAAGUAUCUUUGUCAAACUUUAAAAUUGUAGUUUUUUUUUUUUCACCUGAAAGUAUUUACUAUCAGUUGAACAUUAAAUUUGAUGUAAUAUAUUUUAAUUUUAUAACUCAUAUAAUUGGAUCAUCCAUAGUUUUUAGAUAGUGUCACAUAACAUUUAGAAACAUAUGUAAACUAAAAAAAGCUGCUUCUUGGAAGCAGAUUAUCCUGUCUUUUCAUCAACACUUCUUGAUAUUAAGAUGUUGAAGUUUAUAUGCAAAAUUGUAUCCUCUAUAGGGGAUCAGUUGCAAAACUUAUAGCACUCCAUCGGUUGGCAUGGAAAAGCCUUCAUUUGUUUCUGUGUUGAGACUUUAUUCUUAAAAGUAUUGCACAUCAAUGUUAUACAACUGCCAACCUGUAUCACAUAUAAAGCAAAAUUAUGUAAUUCAAGGUUGAAUAUGGCCAUUUUUCUCUUUUCUUUCUAUAUUUUAUCUAAUUUUCUCUUUUCUUGAUAUUUUAGCUUUAUUCUCUUCUUUUUCUUUUUCUUUUCCUAACUUGUUUUCUAUAUCUAAACCCUCAAUUAUAAUACAUCAUAUGCACAUUUGGCAAAUAUUUUUUUUUUUCAUUAAUUGUGUUUGAAACUUAAUACUGUGAAGCUGAAUGUAUAAACAAAAAUUGGAGAGCAAUAAACCUAUAAUUCGAAAAAUGAUACUAAAUUCAAGAAUAAGAAGAGAAGAUAAAAAUUGUUGUUUUACUCUUAGUACAGAUGGUUAUAUUGCUAGCAACAAGUCCUUGUCUAAAACAAUUUGUUGGAAAAAAAGGGGCACCUAGAAUACUUUUUAUACGACCGCAAAAAUUUUAAUUUUUUGGUCGUAUAUUGCUAUCACGUUGGCGUCGUCGUCUGCGUCGUCUGCGUCGUCCUCGUCGUCCAA
rnacentral:lncRNA from 1 species